UACGUAGGGGGCAAGCGUUGUCCGGAAUCAUUGGGCGUAAAGAGCGUGUAGGCGGCUCGAUAAGUCUGCUGUGAAAGUCCAGGGCUCAACCCUGGAAGGCCGGUGGAAACUGUCGGGCUAGAGUCCGGAAGAGGCGAGUGGAAUUCCCGGUGUAGCGGUGAAAUGCGCAGAUAUCGGGAGGAACACCGAUGGCGAAGGCAGCUCGCUGGGACGGUACUGACGCUGAGGCGCGAAAGCGUGGGGAGCGAACAGG
rnacentral:rRNA from 1 species